UAGAUGGCGACCGGCGCACGGGUGAGUAACACGUAUCCAACCUGCCGAUAACUCGGGGAUAGCCUUUCGAAAGAAAGAUUAAUACCCGAUGGUAUAAUAAAGCCGCAUGGUUUAAUUAUUAAAGAAUUUCGGUUAUCGAUGGGGAUGCGUUCCAUUAGGCAGUUGGUGAGGUAACGGCUCGCCAAGCCUUCGAUGGAUAGGGGUUCUGAGAGGAAGGUCCCCCACAUUGGAACUGAGACACGGUCCAA
rnacentral:rRNA from 1 species